GUAGUAUAACAGCUGCCCUCAGUACAACCUUGAGGGGUGACUUAGACAUUCAAAUAUCAUAUAACCGUAACUGUGUUUAUUUUGCUCGGCUCUCUGAGCCUGUAUCUUGUUGUACCCAAAGUAUUCGCGUAUCAAUGAAGGGGGAGAAUGGGGGAGGAGGAGAGGGAAUAGGGGUGAGGUCGGUUAUGUAUUGAGUGGUUGUG